rnacentral:snRNA from 1 species
UAGUGUUACAGUUCUUUUAGAAUUUGUUUUAGCAGAUGUUCUGGUCCUCACUGGAAGACCCCC